rnacentral:rRNA from 1 species
AGUGAACGCUGGCGGCAGGCCUAACACAUGCAAGUCGAGCGGCAGCGCGUCCGACCACCCUCGGGUGGUCGGAUGGCGGCGAGCGGCGGACGGGUGAGGAAUGCAUCGGAAUCUGCCUCGUUGUGGGGGAUAACGUAGGGAAACUUACGCUAAUACCGCAUACGACCUACGGGUGAAAGUGGGGGACCUUCGGGCCUCACGCGAUGAGAUGAGCCGAUGCCGGAUUAGCUAGUUGGCGGGGUAAAGGCCCACCAAGGCGACGAUCCGUAGCUGGUCUGAGAGGAUGAUCAGCCACACUGGAACUGAGACACGGUCCAGACUCCUACGGGAGGCAGCAGUGGGGAAUAUUGGACAAUGGGGGGCAACCCUGAUCCAGCCAUGCCGCGUGUGUGAAGAAGGCCUCGG